rnacentral:misc_RNA from 1 species
GGCAACAUCACUUAAUUGGGUUUGCUCAAUAUGCUUAUGGGUUUGCGGCUUACUUAGUUUAGAUGUUUGUGGAACCAUAGCGAUUGUUAUUUAGUCCUGCUGAAGUAAUUCUCUCUUCUGUUUGGAACUCAACAAUGGGUUAGAGGAAGUAAGCACAGGCGGUAUUUUCUGAUGGACUACAAAGGUAACUUUUGCCAUUCAUUGAAUGAUUUUUGUUCUGAAUUUAAGGAAAAUUUCCAGAAUUCGGAACAGCUACAAGGCACAUAUCGAAUACCUGGGGAGCAUGUAAAAACAUUUGGGAGAAAUUAACUCUCAAAAUAUUAAGAAUUAGUUCUAUUCUGUUCUAACUCUCAAGUAUAAAGUGCAUUUUGUUACGAAAUAACUCUUUGUCAAAACUAUGAAGUGCAAGCUUGGAUUCUCUGGUGGUUGUAAGGUAGACAAUGUGGAAU